rnacentral:rRNA from 1 species
AGGAUGAACGCUGGCGGCGUGCCUAACACAUGCAAGUCGAACGCGCUCCAUUCGGUAGCAAUACUGAUGAAGAGCGAGUGGCGAACGGGUGAGUAACACGUGAGCAACCUGCCCCUAGCUCUGGGAUAGCUCCGGGAAACCGGGAUUAAUACCAGAUACGACCACUUUAGACAUCUGCUGUGGUGGAAAGGAUUCCGGCUAGGGAUGGGCUCGCGGCCUAUCAGCUUGUUGGUGGAGUAACGGCCCACCAAGGCGACGACGGGUAGCCGGCCUGAGAGGGCGACCGGCCACACUGGGACUGAGACACGGCCCAGACUCCUACGGGAGGCAGCAGUGGGGAAUAUUGCGCAAUGGGCGAAAGCCUGACGCAGCGACGCCGCGUGGGGAUGAAGGCCUUCGGGUUGUAAACCCCUUUCAGCAGGGACGAAGCGAGAGUGACGGUACCUGCAGAAGAAGCGCGGCUAACUACGUGCCAGCAGCCGCGGUAAU